rnacentral:lncRNA from 1 species
CUCUAUAACAAAGCCCUCCAUUUCUCCUCCUUUCCCCAGACGCUAAUGGACUGGACUAAGGCAAAGAUCCAUGACAUUUCUUCACCCACAAUUAAGAUGAUGGUAUGGGUUCCCGCAUCGGCGAUGUCACAACCAGCCGAUCAUCGUCCACCAAGACUUCCACCUCCCGCCUCCAACAAUGUCGUGAGUUCCUCCACCAACGAUGUCGAUUUUCUUUCUUCUCAAAAAUUGAUUUUUUUUACAUUCUAUCAGUUGUUGAAAUUGAUUUCUUUCUUCUCAAAAAUUGAUUUGUUAAAAUCGAUUUUAUUGCUUCUCUUCUCAUCUCUGAAAUCCAUGUAUUAUUUGAAAUCGAUUUUUUAAGUGAUACCUUCUAAUUGAUUUGGAAUAUCUUUUGUAGGAUACAAAAUUGCUGCAAGCAUUUACCUGUAGUAUGUUUGACUAAUGAGUAACAACUGAUAGAAUUUGUGAUGAUAUAGAGUGUGCCUAAAAGGUGUUCAAUGAAAUGCUGAUUAGAAGUAUUGUGUUUCAUUGUACAAUCUAUAUAUGGGUAACAACACACGUUGUCUUCCUUAUUUCUCUUCCAUCGCCUCUCACUUGGUAUCCAAAUGUUCAUCAUCUUGCUGCCACAACCCUCCCGUCAGACCACAACCAGGUAUGCUUGCUUUUGGAACUUAAACUAAGAUGCUAUUAGAUUAUUCAUAUACGCUGACAUCAAAUUCUGAUGGAUUUAUGAAUGAUUAAUCAAUCCACAGUCAGCUCUAUUUAAUUCUCUAGUCUCUUUUACAAAUUCACUUUUUGAAUUCCGAUGUAAUACAAAGUGAAUGUCUUACAUUUUAAAAUUGAUGAACUAAAUGUAUUAUGUAUGUGAUGUUAUUUUACAAUUUUAGAAUUACUUGGAUAAUGAUUUUCACUUAACAAAUUUUGAAGUGCCUUAAAAUCCACAAAUUUAAUUUACCAUAAAAUUUUGUUUUACGUAAACAGAAUGCAAACCACGCACUUAGAAAUUAUAUAUUUGAAUCCAUAAAAUAAAUGAUAAAUUAAUAAUUAUGUAUCAUGACACUCUUAAAAAACUAUUAUUAUAGAUUUAUCCUUUGUAGUAUACUCGAACAAUUAUGAU